AGUGAACGCUGGCGGCAGGCCUAACACAUGCAAGUCGAGCGGCAGCGCGUCCGACCACCCUCGGGUGGUCGGAUGGCGGCGAGCGGCGGACGGGUGAGGAAUGCAUCGGAAUCUGCCUCGUUGUGGGGGAUAACGUAGGGAAACUUACGCUAAUACCGCAUACGACCUACGGGUGAAAGUGGGGGACCUUCGGGCCUCACGCGAUGAGAUGAGCCGAUGCCGGAUUAGCUAGUUGGCGGGGUAAAGGCCCACCAAGGCGACGAUCCGUAGCUGGUCUGAGAGGAUGAUCAGCCACACUGGAACUGAGACACGGUCCAGACUCCUACGGGAGGCAGCAGUGGGGAAUAUUGCACAAUGGGCGAAAGCCUGAUGCAGCCAUGCCGCGUGUGUGAAGAAGGCCCUAGGGUUGUAAAGCACUUUCAAUAGGGAGGAAAGCUAGUAGUUAAUACCUGCUAGCCCUGACGUUACCUAUAGAAGAAGCACCGGCUAACUCCG
rnacentral:rRNA from 1 species